AGUGAACGCUGGCGGUAGGCCUAACACAUGCAAGUCGAACGGCAGCACAGUAAGAGCUUGCUCUUACGGGUGGCGAGUGGCGGACGGGUGAGGAAUACAUCGGAAUCUACUUUUUCGUGGGGGAUAACGUAGGGAAACUUACGCUAAUACCGCAUACGACCUACGGGUGAAAGCAGGGGAUCUUUGGACCUUGCGCGAUUGAAUGAGCCGAUGUCGGAUUAGCUAGUUGGCGGGGUAAAGGCCCACCAAGGCGACGAUCCGUAGCUGGUCUGAGAGGAUGAUCAGCCACACUGGAACUGAGACACGGUCCAGACUCCUACGGGAGGUAGCAGUGGGGAAUAUUGGACAAUGGGCGCAAGCCUGAUCCAGCCAUACCGCGUGGGUGAAGAAGGCCUUCGGGUUGUAAAGCCCUUUUGUUGGGAAAGAAAAGCAGCAGGUUAAUACCCCGCUGUUCUGACGGUACCCAAAGAAUAAGCACCGGCUAACUUCGUG
rnacentral:rRNA from 1 species